UUGAGUUGACAUUUUAUGGAUAGUAACUUAACUAAAUUUCUUUUGAACUCUAAGCAAUGAUUCUUCGAUUAUUGAGUAGAAUCCUAAACUGACAUCACUUUUUAGAGUAGGCUAUGGUUAAGUCUAUCACUUUAAACCAAUAAUAGUUCCAUGCCUCUCAUAAUUUUAGUAAUUUUAUCAUCGGAUAAAGGUUUUGUAAGGGGUCAGCUAGUA
rnacentral:lncRNA from 1 species